rfam:Schistosoma mansoni strain Puerto Rico chromosome 6, complete genome
AUCCAGCUGACGAGUCCCCAAUUGGACGAAACGCGCGUCCUGGAU